rnacentral:pre_miRNA from 1 species
CUUAUACUCCCUCCGUUUGGAAUUACUCGUCGCAGAAAUGAAUGUAUCUAGACGUAUUUUAGUUCUAGAUACAUCCAUUUUCGCGACAAGUAAUUCCGAACGGAGGGAGUACAUG